GACAGCAGUAGCCGCGGGAAUACGUAGGUGGCAAGCGUUGUCCGGAAUUAUUGGGCGUAAAGCGCGCGCAGGCGGAUCAGUUAGUCUGUCUUAAAAGUUCGGGGCUUAACCCCGUGAUGGGAUGGAAACUGCUGAUCUAGAGUAUCGGAGAGGAAAGUGGAAUUCCUAGUGUAGCGGUGAAAUGCGUAGAUAUUAGGAAGAACACCAGUGGCGAAGGCGACUUUCUGGACGAAAACUGACGCUGAGGCGCGAAAGCCAGGGGAGCGAACGGGAUUAGAUACCCCCGUAGUCCCUGUCUCUUAUACA
rnacentral:rRNA from 1 species